UCCUGGCUCAGAACGAACGCUGGCGGCGCGUUUAAGCAUGCAAGUCGAGCGGCAAGGGCCUUCGGGCCCCUAGAGCGGCGGACGGGUGAGUAACACGUGGACAAUCUGCCCCCCGGCCCGGGAUAGCCCAGGGAAACCUGGAUUAAUACCGGAUGAGACGGGACCCGCGAUGGCGGGAUCCGGGAAAGGCGCUGCGGCGCCGCCGGGGGAUGAGUCUGCGUCCCAUUAGCUAGACGGCGGGGUAACGGCCCACCGUGGCGACGAUGGGUAGCCGGCCUGAGAGGGUGGACGGCCACAUUGGAACUGAGACACGGUCCAGACUCCUACGGGAGGCAGCAGCUAAGAAUCUUCCGCAAUGGGCGAAAGCCUGACGGAAGCGACGCCGCGUGAACGAAGAAGGCCGUGAGGUUGUAAAGUUCUUUUCGGGAGGGGGAACAACCGUGGCAGGGAAUGGCCGCGGGAUGACGUGAAUCCCGGAAUAAGCCCCGGCUAACUACGUGCCAGCCGCGGC
rnacentral:rRNA from 1 species